rnacentral:rRNA from 1 species
UACGAAGGGGGCGAGCGUUGUUCGGAAUUACUGGGCGUAAAGGGCGCGCAGGCGGCUCUGAAAGUCAGAUGUGAAAGCCCCGGGCUUAACCUGGGAAUUGCAUUUGAUACUCUGGAGCUUGAGUACGGGAGAGGAGAGUGGAAUUCCCAGUGUAGAGGUGAAAUUCGUAGAUAUUGGGAAGAACACCGGUGGCGAAGGCGGCUCUCUGGACCGUAACUGACGCUGAGGCGCGAAAGCGUGGGGGGCAAACAGG